rnacentral:rRNA from 1 species
GAUGAACGCUGGCGGCGUGCCUAAUACAUGCAAGUCGAGCGAACAGACGAGGAGCUUGCUCCUUCGACGUUAGCGGCGGACGGGUGAGUAACACGUAGGUAACCUACCUAUAAGACUGGGAUAACUUCGGGAAACCGGAGCUAAUACCGGAUAAUAUCUCGAACCGCAUGGUUCGAUAGUGAAAGAUGGCUUUGCUAUCACUUAUAGAUGGACCUGCGCCGUAUUAGCUAGUUGGUAAGGUAACGGCUUACCAAGGCGACGAUACGUAGCCGACCUGAGAGGGUGAUCGGCCACACUGGAACUGAGACACGGUCCAGACUCCUACGGGAGGCAGCAGUAGGGAAUCUUCCGCAAUGGGCGGAAGCCUGACGGAGCAACGCCGCGUGAGUGAUGAAGGUCUUCGGAUCGUAAAACUCUGUUAUUAGGGAAGAACAAACGUGUAAGUAACUGUGCACGUCUUGACGGUACCUAAUCAGAAAGCCACGGCUAACUACGUG